UCGAACGAUGAACCACCUUCGGGUGGGGAUUAGUGGCGAACGGGUGAGUAACAUGUGGGCAAUCUGCCCUGCACUCUGGGACAAGCCCUGGAAACGGGGUCUAAUACCGGAUACUGACCCUCGCAGGCAUCUGCGAGGUUCAAAAGCUCCGGCGGUGCAGGAUGAGCCCGCGGCCUAUCAGCUAGUUGGUGAGGUAAUGGCUCACCAAGGCGACGACGGGUAGCCGGCCUGAGAGGGCGACCGGCCACACUGGGACUGAUACACGGCCCAGACUCCUACGGGAGGCAGCAGUGGGGAAUAUUGCACAAUGGGCGAAAGCCUGAUGCAGCGACGCCUUGUGAGGGAUGACGGCCUUCGGGUUGUAAACCUCUUUCAGUAGGGAAAAAGCCAAACUGAAGGUACCUGCAAAAGAAGCGCCGGCUAUGUACGUGCCAUGACCGCGGUAAUAGGUAGGGCGCAAGCGUUGUCUGGAAUUAUUGGUGGUAAAGAUCUCUUAGUCGCUUUGAAAAUAA
rnacentral:rRNA from 1 species